GAGAUUGUAGAGAAUACUACUUCAAUAUAUUUUUUGAUUGAUAGAUUUUUAUAUACUGUUUCUAAGUAAACUAUGUAUUUUACUUGAACUAGUAAUUAGAUUUUGAUCUGCGCUUUCAAAGCGCAGAUUUAUUUUCUUUUUUUUUAAUGGACAAUUAUUUAGUAAAUGUCAUAUUUUCAUAUAUUUGUGUUUUAUUUUAUAAAAGACUUAAACGUUUUAUUUUUUAUUUAUCAUAUUUCAUUUUAAAUAACUAUUUAUGUUUAAAAAAUUAAACUUUAUUUAUUUAAUGAAUU
rnacentral:lncRNA from 1 species